GAAUUUUUCCGGAAUUUUUAGAAAUUUUCGGGGAAUUUUUCUGAGCUCGUAAGAUGGGUUUUGACGGGAUCAAUUUCGGAUUCGGAUUAAAGCCUGUUUGGGAUACCCGUUUAAGUGAGGAAAUGGUUAUUUAUAUAAACAUUUCCCCCUUUUCUUUUUAUUUUCCCCAAAUCGCCGUUUCCUCCUCUUUCCCGAUCUCCCCUCUCGUUCUCUCUUGCGGAUGAGGCAAGCUGAGGGUUCCGGCGAUCAUCGACCUCGGCCUAGUGGAGUAAUCGCCGGUACUGAUCCGGGCGAGGGUGAUUUUCUCCAGCCCUAGGUGAGAGCGCUGAUCUUCUCUCGGCGUCGUCGGCGCAGAUCGGAGCUCGGAGCAUAAAGGUUCCGAUCCUCUCCUCCUCUAGUUUCCUUCAAUCUUCGAUCUCUUCCUCCUCAGCCGAUUCUGCUGAUCCUUUUCUUCCCCGAUCGACGCCACUGGAUCGAUCCAAAGCCGCUAGAUCACCGGCGUAGGUCCGUGGCCGGUGCUAGAUCUUGGCAAAUGCUGGCUGAUUGGGGGUCAGUAGUAUCUUCGAUACUUUGCUUCACGGAUUGGAUCGGGUGACAUUUUCUGGAGACGAUCAAUUGAGGAGGUGAGGUCCUGUUCUGUGGGGAUUCGGUUGAAGAGGAGGUGUUUCUUGAGCUGUGGUUUGUGCUUGAUUAUUAGUCUUCCUGUUUGAUCCAAUUGAUAGCAGUGAGGUGAGGCUCUGCUCGGUUCUGUGAUCAUGAGGUGUAUUCAGCAGAGAGGUUCUGUUUACUGUGAGGUUUUCUUGGUUCCGGCAGCACUCCUUCCAGUAGCUGAGAUUGAGGAAUCUAAUUCGAGACGGGCGUCUCGACUUUGGAUCGCUUGAUUGUACCUUCUAUUUAAGG